GGAAUUUUGGACAAUGGGCGCAAGCCUGAUCCAGCCAUGCCGCGUGCAGGAUGAAGGCCUUCGGGUUGUAAACUGCUUUUGUACGGAACGAAACGGCCUUUUCUAAUAAAGAGGGCUAAUGACGGUACCGUAAGAAUAAGCACCGGCUAACUACGUGCCAGCAGCCGCGGUAAUACGUAGGGUGC
rnacentral:rRNA from 1 species